GGUUGGGCCGCGGCGGUCUCCAACGGCGGGCGGGAAGCGGAGGGGCGAGGAGCCGGGGAACUAGGGAAGGAGGGACUGCAGGGAGGAGGAGGAUGAAAGGGAGGAGGAGGGGAGCCUGGCCCAGCCGGAGCCAUCUCCAUCGAGAACAAAAUGGCGGCGCUGGCGGAGGGCCAACUGUGAGGCGGGGCCGCGGCCAUUCCCCCUCCGCCCCCACCCUCGCGCCGGCCGGGCCGGUCAAGGGGAGCCCGCUCUCUUCGCCCGGCCGCGGGCGGGGAGGGGAGGGAAGCGGCCCGGCCCACUAUGCAAAGCGUCCGGCGGCGCCGCCGCCGCCGCCGCCCCGUGGCAAAGAUGGGGAAACUGACGCCUGGAGGAAUGGAGGUUAUCUACUGAAGGUCAAAUCUCUACUUAGUUGAAGAGAGGGUAGAGAACUUGGAUCUCCUGGCAAAUACUCCGAAGGUCAAUGAACUUCAAUGCAGGGAAAGGAGGCCAUCACCUACCUGGGAUUUUUUUUUUUUUUUAAAGAUUUUAUUUAUUCAUGAGAGAGAGAGAGAGAGAGGGAGAGAGAGAAUGAGCGGGGGAAGGGCAGAGGCAGAGGGAGAAGCAUGCUUCCCACUGAGCAGGGAGCCCGAUGCGGGGCUCGAUCCCAGGACCCCAAGAUCAUGAUCUGAGCCGAAGGCAGACGCUUAACGACUGAGCCCCCCACACACCCAGCCUGGACUGUUUUAAGAGGUACCAGGAAAGGAGCCUGUGUCCGCCACAGGUUCCAGGACUCCCAGCACCAGACACAGGCUUUCUCUCCCUGCACUUGCCCUGCCAGGGCAGCUCGCAGAGUGAGGAAGGCAGAGUGGACAGAGUAUGUCAGGGGAAGCCGAUUCUGACCUCCCUUUCUGGCAGGUGAUCGGAGAGGCAGCAUUUCCGCAGACUUUGUCAUGGGGAGCAGGGCUUACUGUUAAGGUGGAGCUCCUGCGGAAAAGGGACAGGGCAGCGGGUGACAGGUGGGGCACAUUUCUCCUGGGGCUGCUGCAAAUCCCACUAAGUGCAGUCUUUGCUAGGUAAUAAAAAGGUUGUCACUUUGAGCAAAAAUUACCAAAGGGCUAGCUAGGACACCAGCAUCAGAGACAGCUGGACUCUAGAAGGCUAAGAGCAGCGGUUCUCAAACUGUGUGCCCAUGGAACACUCAGGUUCUGCCCAGCAGGAGUGAAAAGGUGAUCUUUUCUCAAUUGGUGGAAAGGGACUAGGUUAAAUAAAUGAUGCUACAACCAUACAAUGUGAAAAGUAUGAGAUUUGUAUGUGUGAGCAAAUGUGGAAUGAUAGCUAAGAGAAAUUAAGUGUGAAGAGUGUAUAGAAGAUUCAGUACAAUUUACCUUUUCAGUAAAAAAAAAAAAAAGGAUCAAUGGAUGUACAUCUUUAGUAUGUAUAUGCAUUAAAAUUUCUGUAAGGAUCCCUAAGAAACUUGAUGGUGGUUACCUCUGGGAGUAGGUGGGACUGGAGGAGUUCGGGGAGGGAGAGAAACUCAUGUUUCAUCAGGUAUUCUUUUGUGCUGUUUUGAAAAAAAAUUUUUUUUACCAUGUAUGUGUUAUUCCCAAGAUUUUUAAUAUGCAAAGGAAUUAAGUAAAUGAGUAGAACUGUACCCCUUUAAAAUUUCCAUACCCUAACACUUUUUGAAACUUGCACCUUGCCACCUGCUACUCAAUAAUGAAUAUUAAUGCAAAAACUUGGAAACAGCUGAUCUUCUUUUGACAGCUUGUAUAUUCAUGGGCACACAUUUGUUUGUGGUUGUGACCAGAAUACAGACAUAUAAUCUGGCCCUCCUUAUAGGAUAGACUUGAAUUUAAGCAAUUCUGAGGCUUCCUGCAGACAGUCCCACAUCCUCCAGGACGCUCAGCACCCGAGGCCCUUUGGGACCCGCAGGCUGAAGCGGACAGCACAGCUCCGAGGGCCUGCUAGGGAGGGCUAAGCCAGGACUGUGGCUGUUUUAGUCAGAAGAACCCCAGUGAUCUGUGCACUACCCAUGGGGACCAGGUCUAGGCCAUGGGACAGGAAAGAAAGUAAGGAGAAAAAAAGAAAGACUUGGAGGGGAGAGAGGGAUGGGAAAGACUUCUAGCACCAUCUACAUUUCGGGUCCCACCUUCUGCAACCCAGCAGGCAUGUUCUCAGUCACGCCCAGGAGACAGGCCCUUGUUAGUGGUGAGUCAGUCCUUGUCACAAGAGUGUCUCCCAUUGGGAAUUCUCUUUGUCCUGAAGAGCUCAGCCAGGCUGGGGGAGGUCAUACCCUGUCCACCGAGGAGGACCAUGAACCUUCUAAAUCCCUUGCCUCCCACAUAGGCAGUCCGCCUGCCUUACCUCGGUCAGGGCCGAAGGGACCUUCUUCUGUUUCUUGAAGGUCGAGGGGUUGAUGCCGUGGAAGACAGACGAGAAGGCACUGCUCGAGAAGCGGGGGGAGGACAGGGGGAAGCUCAUGCUCACGGGCCGCUCUGUAACCAAGAUAAGCCACAGGGGAUGGGAGGGCUGCUUUUGUUCUGAACCUCCACAGGAAUGUGGUUUCAGGCACAACCAGGGGCCAGCGAGAAGCCACCCGGAAGAACAGUGGUGCCCAGGUUACCUCUCAUCAGGCCUGGGACAUCCCCGC